rnacentral:tRNA from 2 species
GUUCCCGUAGCUCAAUGGAUAGAGCCAGCGUUUCCUAAACGCUAGAUGCGAGUUCGAUUCUCGCCGGGAACA